CAUUUGAGAGUGCGCAAACCCUGGUGCUAGAGGGGGUACGCAGCUGGAGGUUGAAUGUUUGAAGGGGUAACGGGACGAUAAAAAGUUUGGGAACCACUGGUUUAGAGUAAAUGCUACUUCGUUUACCUAAAUGGCCAGGCCCCUGGGGGCUGCAGACAAAAACAUAUUCAACAGCCAUUCUUCAAAAAAGCGUACACACGAAUAGAAAGAAGGUAAAUUAAAACUUACCUGGAAGAGAAAAUUGCUCCAAGCAGCAUCCAUUUUGCACCAAAGCGAUGAAGAGUAUAAAAUCAGCUAAGUAAUCCUGAUGGCGAUUCGACAGUAAACCGUUGACAUAAUAUUUAAUCGCACUGUUGAUGAUUGUGGCGAGAAGAUCUAUGUUGACAGUAUUCAAAUGCAACAAGAAAAGUAUGCUAUUGAUCAUCCGAAAGGGACAUGCAACUAUCAAAAAUGUACAUUGUAAAAAAUAUUUAUCUAUCAGGCGCAUUCAAGCUAUUCAAAUUCACGCAGGCGUUUCGUCUAGGCUGACUGCCUGAGUGGAAUUGCCAGCUCCAAUAGUGGCCUAUUUAUCUUUGACUUUGGUUUCAAACUUAAAUUUUAUCAAAGCAUAAGGAAUGCAUAUCUCUUGGCAUUGAUGACUGUGAAACCAAAUAUCUGUGCGCACAAAAUCAAUGUUAUUUAUAUAGCCGUAGUCAUAUAAUAGGUCGAUCUUAAAAUUAAAAGUAAUGCAUUACGCACAAUGACAACUAUUAUCAGUGUUACAAUAAACGCAUUCGAAAGAGUAGCAGUUCAUUAUUUUAAUUUAUGAAUCUAUUCUUCCGAUUUCUCCCAACAGGCCAAUCGCUUGUUUUGUCGAAGCCUCGUUGUUGGAUUCAAGCCCUGACCCUAAACUAAGAGCGCUCGCGCCAGGACGCAGCCUAUCGCUCCACCUCGGCUGUUCAAUUGCGAGGAUGUCAUCUUUCUUUUUUUAUUGCUCGCUCUCCCUCCUCCCUCCAUGUAUCUUUCUUCCUUUUCUUUUUAAAUCCUCUUUCUUCUCCCCCUCCUCUCCUUUUCUUGCACCGCUAUGUCCCAGUUGCUCUUAAAGGGAUAUCAUUGAUAUUUGUUGGUCACCCUCUUUAAGUUCGCUCUUCCCCAUUGGAGCAUUUCCUUUCUGCCCCCUCCUCCUAGGGUUUUCGGCCGACAGAUAUUGCAUUACAAUAUUUUUCAGACCAUCAUAAAUAGAUCUCGGCCGUUGCUAUAGAGAGAAAUAUUAAUGGAGUCUUUUUGUAGGCCCUAACUCCGCCAUGUUCGUUGGACAAAGCAUAUGAGGAAAAUUAAUGGCGUAUUUGUAGGGUUUUGGAUAAACGCCGAAAAUAAGGUCUGUGGGAAACAGAUAUAGGAUAUCUUAUUUGUUCUAUUAGAUCAUCUUCAUUAUCUAACGUCACUUUUAGUUCACGUUGGAAGUUUUUUGGUAAUAAUAAACCAAAUAAAUCUCAUAAAGUUAAUGUAAACUGACUGCUAUUAUCACAACAUAUAAGAUCUCCUAAGCCUGUGUUAAAGAAGCAUUAUGUCGAGUUGUUGCAUUAUAAUGUCAUAAUAUAUCUGCAGUAAUAGUAUAAUUCUAGUGUUGUAACAUAUAUUACAUAUGUAUAUAUAAUGCUUUGGGCUCUUACAUAACACUCCAUACAGAACCAAUCAGUCGAUAUAAUGGACAUCAUAAAUCACGCGAUGUGAAUCAGACAGUGGGGCGGUGCGACUCCUUGGUCAGAAGGUUCCAAUCAUCGUUUUAUGUCAUCAUUUCCGAGCAGCGUCAACGACAACUGUUAUUACACCCGGUUUACGUUGGCGGCGGUAAAGGCCAUUUUUAUUGUGCAGUAACUAAAACUGGAAGAUCUGGCGUCCUUUCCCUUCGCCAAAGCGUACAUUUCCGGGGAGCCCGUGGUAUGGUGUCGUGACAGAGUUGAGGGAGAGGCUGAAAGCGGUGGCUGGCGAUCCGUCGCUGAUAAACAACUUGACUCGCUUCGGCACGGCUGCGCUGUGACUGGGUCGGGGAUGUUAGGCGAUGGAGAACAAAGUGUGGGGCAUGGUGGUACAAAUAAAUGGGGAGAUAAUGUGAGUAGGAGUUUGAAGGGGAGAGAGAGGUAUGCGAGGCAGCAAAGGACGUUUGAAGAGAGCAACAGUUUCCAGCGGCAGUUCGGGGGUCGAGAAUGCAGAGGAAGGGCAAGAGAUGCAUCGCGAGAUUCCAUCUUUGAGAAGAAAAAGAGCCAGGCUGGUUUACAGAGACCUGACUAGAGGCGUGAUAGUGCCGACACCCCUGCAUCAACUUGGAUCGAAUGGACCGUUUUCAUGCACAUGUAUCGAAAUGGACAGUGCGGGGAAAAAUGGAUGUAAUCUAUGCGCUAAAAUAGCGAAUGGAGGACGCUUUUCCCGUGGUUCGUUGUCAUGCCAGCCAGAUGUAAAAGUGAUUUGGAGGGACAAUGGAGUGCUGGGUACCAGGCAAGUUUGGUAGGAUACUAAUGACCAUCAGCAGCAUCAGAGCUUGGAGAAGCCUAAUUACCAUGACUAAACGUGGAAUUUGACUGCCUUCAUGACUCGUGACCUCCGGUGUGGCGGUAGUACGGUCACCGCAACACCCCUAAUCAUGUACAUACAGUAAGUCAGGGCAGUUCAACCCAUGUGUUCCUGUGGCCCUACGAUGAGAGUGCAGGAGACAAGAUGACCAUGAAUGUCACAGCCAGUACAACCGUAUUCUGACUGUUAACAUUAGAGACUGGCCUGCCACCCCCCAACUGUGAGCUGGAACCUGUCACUCUGAUCCUCCACAGACUGGCCUGCCACCCCCCAACUGUGAGCUGGAACCUGUCACUCUGAUCCUCCAUAGACUGGCCUGCCACCCCCCAACUGUGAGCUGGAACCUGUCACUCUGAUCCUCCACAGACUGGCCUGCCACCCCCCAACUGUGAGCUGGAACCUAUCACUCUGAUCCUCCACAGACUGGUCUGCCACCCCCCAACUGUGAGCUGGAACCUGUCACUCUGAUCCUCCACAGACUGGCCUGCCACCCCCAACUGUGAGCUGGAACCUGUCACUCUGAUCCUCCACAGACUGGCCUGCCACCCCCCAACUGUGAGCUGGAACCUGUCACUCUGAUCCUCCACAGACUGGCCUGCCACCCCCCAACUGUGAGCUGGAACCUAUCACUCUGAUCCUCCAUAGACUGGCCUGCCACCCCCCAACUGUGAGCUGGAACCUGUCACUCUGAUCCUCCACAGACUGGCCUGCCACCACCCAACUGUGAGCUGGAACCUGUCACUCUGAUCCUCCACAGACUGGCCUGCCACCCCCCAACUGUGAGCUGGAACCUGUCACUCUGAUCCUCCACAGACUGGUCUGCCACCCCCCAACUGUGAGCUGGAACCUGUCAUUCUGAUCCUCCACAGACUGGCCUGCCACCCCCCAACUGUGAGCUGGAACCUGUCACUCUGAUCCUCCACAGACUGGCCUGCCACCCCCCAACUGUGAGCUGGAACCUGUCACUCUGAUCCUCCACAGACUGGCCUGCCACCACCCAACUGUGAGCUGGAACCUGUCACUCUGAUCCUCCACAGACUGGCCUGCCACCCCCCAACUGUGAGCUGGAACCUGUCACUCUGAUCCUCCAUAGACUGGCCUGCCACCCCCCAACUGUGAGCUGGAACCUGUCACUCUGAUCCUCCACAGACUGGCCUGCCACCCCCCAAAUGCCGCAAACAGAAAUUUCAGUGGACCUCCUGCGCCACUUUGCAGCCCCGCAGCUGGAGUGAAGAGUAUCUUUGAGGGGGAUUACCUUUCCAUAAAUCCAAUACAUGCUGGAAGGUAGUUAUUGUAUUCUAGAUUGGAAAUCAAACCAUAUAUGUAAGUAUUCUUUAACAUGAGGAGUAUUAUUAUUCAUUUGAACGAGAGACAGGCAGUUUGAACGAGAGACUGUCAGGAAUUUGGCGCCACUGACCUCGGAUGGAACAAAGUGCCUUCUCGGUCCAUAGGCAGCACCCAGUCGGACGUGUAAGAUUGGACCCGUCAGAUGGAGACCCUCACAGACAAGAGGACGUUGUUCCUUACCUGGCACGAGAGAUGCGUGGAAACUCUCGCAGAACAACAAUGGACAAACCAUUGCUGUGUGGCUCUCCAGAAAAAUCAAGCGGACAUCGGAGAGAAUAAAACCGCAGAUCAACGCCUAAAGAUGCAUAACAUGUGCCUUAGGACAGCAGAGGAGAGGCACACAAUACAGGCAGGCCUACACAAUGGCCUUUUGUAUUGCCAGCAAGAGCUGAGGCGUUUUAAAGAUGCAUAACAUGUGCCUUAGGGCAGCAGAGGAGAGGCACACAAUACAGGCAGACCUACACAAUGGCCUUUUGUAUUGCCAGCAAGAGCUGGGGCGUUUUAAAGAUGCAUAACAUGUGCCUUAGGGCAGCAGAGGAGAGGCACACAAUUCAGGCAGACCUACACAAUGGCCUUUUGUAUUGCCAGCAAGAGCUGGGACAUUUUAAAGAUGCAUAACAUGUCAAAUGCAGAACAUAUUUAAGCUCCAGCAAGCAUUUUCAAAUGUUGGCUGAUGAUGGCUCGGUCAGCACAGAUGUAAAAGAGGACAGUGAAUCAGAAGAUGAAAGUGGUUGAGGAAUGUGUGUGUGUGUGUGUGUGUGUGUGUGUGUGUGUGUGUGUGUGUGUGUGUGUGUGUGUGUGUGUUGUGUGUGUGUGUGUGUGUGUGUGUGUGUGUGUGUGUGUGUGUGUGUGUGUGUGUGUGUGUGUGUGUGUGUGUGUGUGUGUGUGUGUGUGUGUGUGUGUGUGUGUGUGUGUGUGUGUUUUAUAGGGCAAACUAUACACUGAGUAUUUCUAACAUUAGGAACAACUUCCUAAUAUUGAGUUGCGCCCCCCUUUUGCCCUCAGAACAGACUCAAAUCGUCAGGUAAUGGACCUGUACCCCCGCACAUUGACUCGGUACCGGUACCCCCUGUAUUUAGCCUCGUUAUCGUUAUUUAAUUGUUACUUUUUAAAACUUUAUUUAGUAAAUGCAUUUUCUUAACUCUAUUUUCUUAACUGAAUUGUUGUAUAAGGGCUUGUAAGUAAGUAUUUCAUGGUCAAGUUUACACCUGUUGUAUUCGGCGCAUGUGACAAAUACAAUUUGAUU